rnacentral:misc_RNA from 1 species
UGGUGGUGAGAGUUGGUACAACUUGGCUGACAUAAAAUUGGGUCCAUACAGUAAUGAAGCUGGAGGAUUGUUGGGGCCAUCAUCAUAUGUAUAUUGUGUGUCCAUGUAGGUAUCAAUCCUUCUAGCAUACUCUUCUCUUGCAGUUGUGUAAGUGAAAUCAGGACCUGGCAUGAUAGCAGCAGUAAAGACUCCAGCAUAAAUUUUUUC